UACGGAGGGUGCGAGCGUUGUCCGGAAUCACUGGGCGUAAAGGGCGCGUAGGCGGCGCGGGAAGUCAUCGGUGAAAGUUCAGGGCUCAACUCUGAAUCGGCCGGUGAUACUCUCGUGCUCGAGCACUGUAGAGGCAGGUGGAGUUCCGGGUGUAGCGGUGGAAUGCGUAGAGAUCCGGAAGAACACCGGUGGCGAAGGCGGUGGUCUGGGCCUGAACUGACGCUGAGGAGCGAAAGCGUGGGGAGCGAACAGG
rnacentral:rRNA from 1 species